GGUUAUAAGCAUCCCGUUCCUCUGCUACAGGAAAGAAGAGCGGCGACUCUAGAGCGAUUCCGAGUCCGAGACCGAUUCCGCCGGUUUCCCUUCUUCUCCGGCGACCUUCGGCGUUGGAGAUGAAGGGAAGCUGGGGAAUCAACCGCUGGUUGUAUAUACUACCUAGUAGAGUAGAUCUAGGGGUACAUUGGUUUUCUCCUAUGGUGAUUUCCUCCACGGCGUUCCGUAGGUCGGCCAGGUUAGUUGCUCUGGGAUUUGGGUUGGAUUUCUUCCCGGUGCAGAGUUCGUCAGGAAUCUUUUGCUUCCUCCAUGCUUUUUCUGGUGACUAUGUUGGUGGUGAUCGGAGUUUGGCGGUGCAUGUGGGGCGUCUUGGACAUGAAUUGUUUUAUGCGGAUGGUUCAACAUUGAUGACGCUUUCUUUGAUGUUUUCUUCUGCGUCGGUGCUCGAAUCCGGCGUGAGCUUAUCUGCGCCGGAUGUGUCCAAGGUGUCUGCAGUAUCACCGGGUUUGCAACCACCGAUAUGGCUGCUGGAGGUCGGGGGAUUGUUUUGUCCCUCCGAAGUGGUUCAGAUGGUCUUGUUGUCCUCUGUGACUGCUUUGUGAGGUUUGUUCUCCACCUGCUCGUAUGUUCGAGUUGGUGUUCUUCAGUUCCCGUUGCGGGAUUGCUGCUUGUCGACUGGGUGGUACCGGUGAGGCCACCAACGACUGAGCCUGGUGAAUGCAUGGACCGUUCGGGAGGUUCAACGGAUAAAUGGCAUGCUUAUUCUAGUGCGCUACUAAUGGGCUUUGAAGAUCUUUUCGUCGUUUCGGGUUCCGGCCGUGAGUUUCAUCCUGGGUUCUUCUUCAUUACGGGAGAUGGAGAAGGCUCGGCCUGCGGCAGCGAGGUCGGUGGCGGCGAGGAUCGUUGGUGCUCCUUCAAAAGGGUAGAAGGGCCCUGGGCAGGGGCGGUGUUGUUGGCAGCAGCGGUGGCGGAGGACAAUAUGUCUCCUUCUCAUCCACUACCAAUUCGUAUGCAGUGGCGGUCAAGCUGGUGGCGCCAUUCAUAUAGUCACCAGCUACACCAAUAUGGUGCCUACAUGGUGUUCAACGAAAUGCCAAAAUUGUGACCAUCAAUUUCAAGUUCGAGGUGCUGAUUAAGUGCUAGCCAGAAGUCCUCGACCACACCAGUAGCAUGGAGAUGCUUGGCCAUCACAACUCUGCAGCCUGAUUUCGCCCCGACACUUGCUAUGCUUGACAUGUGGACAACCAUGAACAUCUGGCAUCACAAUCCCAGCGCCCAUCAGGAACUUGUCACCCCAGCCCUCUCUCGAAAUUGGUCCUUCUGCAGUCUACUCGUAGACCAUCUUCUCUUGUGGGGUUUAUCUGCUCUACUGCUAUGAUUUGGUCUGCUGCUAUGUCUGAUUUGUAUCCUAUUUUCUUUGUUGGUUCAAUGGGAUUAGAUUGGGUUGAGGUGGCACAGUCAACAUCUGGAGGAGUUGCUGCCGGAGCAACAGAAGCUCGGGCCCUUCAUGCAGGUGGUGCUUCCAAUCUGAGGCAGACUGUUGAAUCAAGAGAAACUUGGCAUCAACAGUCUUGGGAUCAUACUCAGUAAAGUUAAUCAUUAGAGUUGAUGAUGCAUCAGGAACAACUGUUAGAUGACAUGGCUAAAGGUACUAUUACAUAUAAAGAAGCAAAGUAGGGUGAAUGAAUGUUCACAGAUGAAAGUGAGCUCAAAUAGGGUGAAAAGAGAGCUGUGACAUCAAUUGUUGAACUUGUCAGCUCAACAGCACUGUCAUCAGUCAUCACUGGUUAAGCCAAAACAAAAGCUGAUGUUCAAAUGAGUUUGCAGGGGUCGAUGAUGUUCUAGCACAAAUCAAUAUAAAUGCUAAGGUUGCAAUAUUCGAUUGAGGUUUUAUGGCCUCAUGGGCACAUGUAUGAAUGGUGAAGUUCAAAGAUGAAAUCUACAAGAUGGAAAGAAAAUUCUACCGAGAUAAUGAAUUUAGAUGGCCAUUGUGCAAGCAUGCAUGCGCGAUCUAUCUGUACUGAACUAGUUAUUUUUUCUAUUUGUACCAACUACCAAAAGGCAAGACCGAGGUCAGAUUACUUGAAUCAUUUAAAGGCAUUGCAGAAGAUUAAAUUGCUUAUGCUA